UCUGACAGCAACCUAUCACCCUGAUCACACCCUGUCUCAUCUGAUUUUGGAAGUUCAACAAUGUGGGGCGUAGUUAACACUUGGAUGGCAGAAUACCGGCGAUCACCAAGGAUGGCCAGAA
rnacentral:rRNA from 11 species